AAGGGAGACCUAAUUCAGGUAUAAGACGAAAAAAAAGUAGUCCCUACCAAGAAUCAAUCCCAAAAGGUCGGAACGAGGUGUGAGGCUUUCAAACUAGGUUCUGGGUUCAUAAAAGACCUGAAUCAGGAACAAGGGCUAUUAGCUCAGGUGGUUAGAGCGCACCCCUGAUAAGGGUGAGGUCCCUGGUUCGAGUCCAGGAUGGCCCACCUGCACAGGUGGCAAAAACAAGAGAAGCGAGGAAUCAGCACCUUAUCUUAUAUACAUAUAUAAGAGAGAAUGCUGGCUCUGAGUACAGAGUCCAGAGGAACCUUGAAAACUGCAUAGAGCUAGGUGAAAAAGCCAAAAAAGAAGACCGCAA
rnacentral:tRNA from 1 species